rnacentral:rRNA from 1 species
GACGAACGCUGGCGGCGUGCCUAAUACAUGCAAGUCGAACGCAGUGGGGAUGGGUGAGUAACACGUGGGUAACCUCCCAUCAGAGGGGAUAACACUUGGAAACAGGUGCUAAACCGAUACUGAUGGAUGGACCCGCGGUGCAUUAGCUAGUGGGGGAGGUAACGGCUCACCAAGGCCACGAUGCAUAGCCGCCCUGAGAGGGGGAUCGGCCACACUGGAACUGGACCACGGCCCAGACUCCGACGGGAGGCAGCAUUAGGGAAUCUUCGGCAAUGGACGAAAGUCUGACCGAGCAACGCCGCGUGAGGGAAGAAGGUUUUCGGAUCGUAAAACUCGGUUGUUAGGGAGGCGGUAUCUAACCAGAAAGCCACGGCUAACUACGUGCCAGCAGCCGCGGUAAUAC